rnacentral:lncRNA from 1 species
CAAUAAUAUAUGGAAGGAUGGCCAUGGUGGUAGUGGGGAACUGAUUUAAAUAGCAGGAGGGUCAGGGAAGACCAUCAUGUGACAGGUGAGCUGGGAGUAAGUGAAUGAGACCAGCUGUAUCAGCACAAGAGAGAUCUACUUGGAAGGAGCAGCCCCAAUGGCCCUGAGAUGGAGUAUGCCUGAUGUGUAUGGAGCAUCAUGGAAGCCAGAGGGACAGAACCCAGUGACUAUGGGGAGUAAGGUUGGUUUCUGCACUGUCAUAACAAUACUACAGCCUGGGGGAUGAGCAACAGAAAUUACUUUUCUUAUAGCUCUGGAGGCCAAAAUGUCACAGGCCACUGUAAAAAUUAUGGCACUUCCUGUCACUAAGGGAUAUGAGAGCAUUUUGAGAAUGUCAGAGCAGAGAAAUGGCUGUGCAAUUAGUCCAGGGUGAGUAAAGGUCACCAGGGCAGAACUGCUCAUGGUGAGGAGAAAAGGGCCUGGACCAGGACAGGGAUUGGACCAGGUUGCUCAUGGGGAGGUGGAAAGAAGACCUUGGGUUUUGGAUUUGUUUUCAAGGCAGAUCAACAGGAUCAACUCAGGAAUUAGAUAUGGGUUAUAAGGAUUGAGAGAAUGACUCCUAAGAUUUGGACUUGAACAAAUGGAAAAAAACGAAGCAAAUGAAAUUAUAUUUCCUUUUAUCCAGAAAGCAGUUGUAUUAAAAGACAAUAAAAUUAUAGCAUUUGCAGGUAAAUGAAUGGAGUACCAUGCUAAGCGAAAUAAGCCAAUCCCCCAAACCCAAAGACCAAAUGUUUUCUCUGAUAUGUAGAUGCUG